ACAUCGCGUCCAGCGUCCAGCGACGUUGAGCGUGACGUUGAAAACCUUUUGCGCGCGUUCAUCCGGAAAUUCGAAAAGCAACGGAACUUUGAACCUGUGUGUGCCGCACUGCAGUGUACGUCUGAAGUUACAUCGGUUCAGUCCCCGGUUUGUUCCGUUUGUCCAGUGUCGUUUGCUAUCCCGAACGAUUAUACGGGGAAGUUCCUAAUAUUUUGCGAGUGAACGUAUCAACACCCGACACCGAAAUGCCGUAUUGUCGUACUUGCGGGGAGUUUGUGUCGUAUAAUAGUUUUAGGAAAAUCCGCCAGUUUUACGGCCCACAAGGUGUAUAUUGCAUCGGGUGUGGAACGUUUCUAUCCCGUAAAAUCUACGCGAAACGUGCAUUGCAGCAGCCACGAGCACAAGCCGCCGUUUAUUAUCCGUAUUACGGAUACUGGAACGAUACAAUCCUGCAGGUACGGUACGGUACAAUCCGGCUGACGAUGACGGCGGUUACUUACCCAUGGUAGGAUCACAAAGGCUCGCACUUCCACCGGCAGGACUUCCCAUGCCAUAGGAAGGUGCAAAUGCGGAGCGCUACUACUACUGGAUGUGGGUCCUGCAGCACGUGUUGUAGGCCGAUUAUUUCUUCUGUGAACGUGAAUUAAUAUGAUUUAUUCAAUAUUAGUUAUUGACUAUGUAAACCUUUCAAACCUUCAGAAAGUAAGUAAAAUGUGAUUAAUCUUGUAAAAAA